UACUGAUAAUACCAGCUUUAACUACUGGAGUUUCCCUUUGAACAAAUAUUCAAUUUAACCGGAGUUAAUUUACCAUAAAAGACAUUCCCCUUGGCACGAAUGCACUCCUGUCCUUGAACACACCUCUUUGAAUGCCUGGACUCUUACAGAAGCCAUUAUUUCGGGGUCUCUUUAAAAAUCAAGCGCCCAUCUCUCUUUCUCUCCCUCCCUCCCUUCUUCCCUCCCUCCUCACCACACCACCCCCAGUGAAAUCCUGGCACCCAGAGAGCGCUCCGUUCAGCCAGAGAUCCCAGAACCAGCCGCUGUCCCCUGGCAAAAGAGGCCCAGAGCUGAGCAAGUGUGUGCAGACGUUGCUACCCCUCCUCCUUUAUUGGUUUCCCUUACCAACAGAAACACGGUAUCCUUUUGCCACCAAAACUAGGUUGUAUCCAAAAGUUUUUCACAAGCUUAAAAGAGAAAAAAGAAAAAUUGACAACUCUCACACAGAAGAGCCCACCAAAGCCGCAGCAGCGCCAGGGGUGAAGAAACAGCGACAGACCCAGCAUCAGAAAAGGAGGUGUGCGUUCUAUCAAGCAAAGGGGAAACGCAUUCGCAGUGAUGGAGAGCCACCACUGAAGCUCUUGGUACCUCACAAGCAGAGCCGUAUGAGUCUGCCGUUAAAGGAAGUACUUCAAAGAGAGGGCUCAGGAGAACGUAGAACGCAGCGCGGAAAAUGGCACAUCUUCACAUCACGCGUAACUUCCCGCACAUUUAUUAUGUCCCCGCAAAGGCACCCUUAAAGCAUCUCCCCCUGGCAGAAGCUACCUAGCAAACAAUGAAUGACAACUGUUUGUUCAGACAGCCUGGGAACUCCUGAGGCCUUUUAUGGAAGGAUGAAGGAACUUGGAUUCCGAGUGGGACUAGGAGGACGGAGCCACUGAAAGAAGAGAGAAGCAGAAGACAAGGAAGCAGAGUAAUCCUCCUAGAGUUGAUGCUGUCUGUCACUGUGGCGUACAAGGGAGACGGUCAGAUGGAGUUCUGCCUGAGAAACGCCAUCUCACCUGGACCACCCCUGCCUGGAACCCCGUGCCAGAACACUGAGUCAUGGCGGAUUGCACAAUGGAAGUGGUACCAUCUGAGCGGAGCCUGGGGUUUUCCUCGUUAGCUCUAAUCCACACAACUAUGCUGCAGAGAAGGCUUUCCCAUCCCUGCUUCUCACAGCAGGAAUCUUAGUAACUCACACGAAGCCCACACAGCCAGGAAGGGGCAGGGCAGGGACUCAAACCUGGGAUGGGAGAGCCGGGUGCUCCCACCAGCCCACCUGUUCUGUCCCCACAUCACCCAGCUCUCUGCCGCACUGGGGCCCGGGCUCCCCCUGGGAUUUCCUCACUGGGGCCACCUGGAUUUCUGUCCUCUAGGUUAGCAGAGCACCUGCAGAGUGGAUCCCUUUUCAGCAGCUCUGGGUAGAAACUGCAGCAGUGGUUUAACACUCCCUGACAGGGCAAGUCUCAUUGCAUCUGUGGCCACCUCUGACUAGCCCACAACAUCCAGUUUACAUCAAUUUAUGUUCAUGUUUCCUUUUGCUGGGGGGGAGGGCACAUCUUUGCCCUUUGCCCUCUUCCCUGUCACUUUUAUUUCUGGCCUGUACCUUCUUCUCCUUGUUUUUUUUUUAAAAACCCAUGGACCUCAGCCCUCAAUUCCAACAUGUUUUUAUGACUAAAACCCACUUAUGAGCAGGAGGUUGUCACAUCAGUGCUUAAGGGGGUGUGGAAAUUGUUAUAACUAGCACUGUGCAAUAGAAUAAUCUACAAUGAUGGAAAUACUCUAUAAUCUGCAGUGUCUCAGACAGUAGCCACUUGAAAUGUGACUCAUGAGACUGAAGAACUGAAUUUUAAAUGUGGUUGAACUUUAAUUUUAACUUAAACAGCCACAUGUAACCAGAGGCUACUGUCCUGAACAGCACAGGCCGGGCAUCCAAGGAAAGUUGGAAGAUGGCUCCAUUUCUGCAUAUUUCAGAAUCCUAGGUCAUGCCUGGGGCUCACAUCUUACUGCUGGGAAGCCCCUGGAAGGGCUAUUUCACUGAUAGGAAGUCCCCAAGGGUCGAGAGUCUUGUUUAAAAGUAAAGAUCUAGGUUGGCUUAGAGCUGGACAUGGGAAGGGGAGUAGAAGCAGAUCCAGUUGGGGCUAGAAUAGUCUAUGGGAUGGGAGAUGGAGUCAAACUAUAGAGGGAAACAUACAGGACAAAGCCCUUGACUUCUACACUUGACUAGCUGUGUGAUCUGGGGCAAGUUACCUACCCUCUCUGAGCCUUGGAUUCCUUAUCUGUGAAAUAGAGAAUAAUAUACUGAUAAUGAUAAAAAAUACCUCUUUGUGCAUCUUCUAGAUUUGACGUAGGCACACUAUUGUGGUUGUAAAGAGCCUUUUGUAAACUGUUACCUCUCUAUAAAUAGCUAUUAUCAUUAUUUUGGACCAAUGGCUGGAAGAUCUAGAAAAGUCGUAGACACGCAAGGUGAGAAUACAUCCAGGCAGCUGAUAUGGCUUUGUGACUGGUAGCAAGUGAAUCCUAGUAGACAAGGGAUGUUAUAUGAGCACAGGAGAGAAAAUUUUUAUCCAGGGCUCAGGGAAGGUCAUUAAUAUCCUUGGGGUUCUGUGUGGUUGAGGGGACACCAGGCAGUAAGAGAGCCCCGUAGAAGUGUGGCUCCACUAGAAUGUAGGCUCCCAAAGGUCGAGACAGCGAGACAGCAGAACAGUGACUUGUGUGUAGCAGCCACUCAGUAAAUAUUUGGUGGAUGAAUAAAUAGAUAAAUAACUGUGAAGCAUCUUAAACCAUCCCAACCCAAUCUACUCACAAAAGGCAAUGAAAUAGUGGUGCCAAGACGUUGUACACAAAGCACCAGCCUUUUAUGUUUGCUUCAGCUGGAGAAAAAGCAAAAAACCUGAGCAUUUGCUCCCCCCCCCCCACCAUGGGCAGUUGAAAUAGGCUAUUGCAGUUUGUCUCUGACUAUGUAGUUCAUCUCCCCUAUUAAAAUCCAUGGUGUCUGAGGGCAGGGACAAAGGCACCUGGUGGCUAACAGUCACCCAGGAGAGUGUUUGAAUGAUCUUCCCGAAAGUGUUACAAUCUAGGAGAUACUUUCCAGAAGACAGUCCUUCCCAGUGCAAAGAAGAGGCUUCCUGAGGAGGAGAUGACUCACCACCCACCCCCUUCAGAGAACACAACAGGGAACCUGGAGUUUCUGUUCAAUUGCUGAGCACACUUGGGAGUGAUCCCAGAGAGAUCCCAUUUGUGGUUCCUGCUGAUCUGGAAGGCGACUUGACAGAACCACUCUUCCCACUAGAAUAUAAGCAGGUACUGGAAGGACAGGACCAUAUUUUGCUGGCCGCCGGGCCAUCCUGGAGCUGGGCACACAGGAGCCCUUCAGGAGGGAGCUGUUUGGGACAACCAACAUGGAAAAAAGUUUGGUAUUGUCUCGUAAGACGGGCACAGCGAUGCCACUCCUGGGUCUAAAUCUUCAAGAAGCUCUCGCAGAAGUGCAUUAGGUGGCGUGUGCCAGAAAGUUCAUAGCAGCACUGUGUGUAAGAGCCCCCACGUGGAACCACCCUGAGUGUCUCUCAAUAGGAUAAAAAAAAUUGUGAUUUAUUCCUCCUGUAGAAUUCUGCAUCCAAACAGAGAUGAUUGGCAUAAAUGCACUGCAGCUGGCAUACUGCAGAAAUGCAUCCAAAAAAAAAAAAAAAAAGAGUCAAAGUCCAGAAAAGUAAAAGCAAGCAAGAAAAAGAAGAGGCAGUAGAAGAUUCUGCAGACUGGGCUGCCCUGGUGAUACUAGAUGUCUUAACGUGCUAUUUUCGGGGUCUGGGCAUAUGGAAGCUUCCCAAGAUGCACAACUUGGAAAGAAGCAACAGAGAUACCAGCUCAGCCUGAGGCUCAAUAAAACAAUGUGGAACUCUUAAGAAGAGGAUUAGUAGGCAAGAGGAAGAUGACAAAAAUUGAAAACAAAAGAUAACAGGCUCACUCCGUCCUUGAAACUCUUCCUAACAGCU